GACAGAGGCCACAAGCGUUAGGCGGAAUCACUGGGCUUAAAGCGUACGCAGGCGGGCCGUUAAGUGCCUUGUGAAAUCCCCCGGCUCACCCGGGGAAUUGCUGGGCAUACUGGCGGUCUUGAGCUGUCCAGGGGCAGCCGGAACAAGCGGUGGAGCGGUGAAAUGCGUAGAUAUCGCCUGGAACGCCCGAGGUGAAAACGGGCUGCUGGAGACAAGCUGACGCUGAGGUACGAAAGCCAGGGGAGCAAACGGG
rnacentral:rRNA from 1 species